rnacentral:antisense_RNA from 1 species
UGUGGGAGCGGGCUUGCCCGCGAUGACGGAGUGUCAGCCAAUGCAUCUUUGGCUGACCUACCGCUAUCGCGGGCAAGCCCGCUCCCACU